UGCUGCUGAUCCUACUGACAGCCAUCACCACCUCCUACCUGUACUACAAGCCCACCAGGAGGCAGAAGAGAGUGAACAGGGUGAGCAGCAUGGAUGUUUAUGUCAAUGCCAUGGAGAUGGUCUCUCUGAGCUCCAGAGCUGAAGCUGGACCGGGAGAGGAGAGAGCAGCCCAGGGGACGGAGUAGGAGUAGAAUGAAGCUGACCCUACAUGCUGAUCUUAGGUCAGUUUUGUGUUUUAAAUCGAAGGUCAGCAGUGGACUGAUGUUUAAAAUGUGGUGACAAACCUGAAG